GAGUUUGAUCCUGGCUCAGAAUCAACGCUGGCGGCGUGCCUCAGACAUGCAAGUCGAACGAUUAAACUUUCCUUCGGGAAAGAUAUAAAGUGGCGCACGGGUGAGUAACACGUAAGUAAUCUACCUUCGAGUGGGGAAUAACGUUCGGAAACGAACGCUAAUACCGCAUAAUGCAGCGGCAUCGCAAGAUGACAGUUGUUAAAGGAGCAAUCCGCUUGAAGAGGAGCUUGCGGCAGAUUAGCUAGUUGGUAAGGUAAUGGCUUACCAAGGCUACGAUCUGUAUCCGGUCUAAGAGGACGGUCGGACACACUGACACUGAAUAACGGGUCAGACUCCUACGGGAGGCAGCAGUCGGGAAUUUUGGGCAAUGGGCGAAAGCCUGACCCAGCAACGCCGCGUGAAGGAUGAAGUAUUUCGGUAUGUAAACUUCGAAAGAAUAGGAAGAAUAAAUGACGGUACUAUUUAUAAGCUCCGGCUAACUACGUGCCAGCAGCCGCGGUAAUACGUAGGGAGCAAGCGUUGUUCGGAUUUACUGGGCGUAAAGGGCGCGUAGGCGGCGCGACAAGUCACUUGUGAAAUCUCCGGGCUUAACUCGGAACGGCCAAGUGAAACUGUCAUGCUAGAGUGCAGAAGGGGCAAUCGGAAUUCUUGGUGUAGCGGUGAAAUGCGUAGAUAUCAAGAGGAACACCUGAGGUGAAGACGGGUUGCUGGGCUGACACUGACGCUGAGGCGCGAAAGCCAGGGGAGCAAACGGGAUUAGAUACCCCGGUAGUCCUGGCCCUAAACGAUGAAUACUUGGUGUCUGGAAUUAUUAUUGUUCCGGGUGCCGUCGCUAACGUUUUAAGUAUUCCGCCUGGGGGAGUACGCACGCAAGUGUGAAACUCAAAGGAAUUGACGG
rnacentral:rRNA from 1 species